UAAAAGUUUUAUUCUUGCUUAGUUGUUUAUUUUUUGUAUGCUUUACAUGUAAAUUUUUGUGGAUACAUAUUACUUAGAUAGGUGUGUAAUUUGCAGUAUUUAGUAUUAUUAAUCAAGGGGACUUGGAAUUAGUAAUAUAAUAUGUGAUCGGCUAAAGUCGUGCCAGCUGCCGCGGUUAUACGUAGGAUUGGAAUAAACAUUAUUAGUAUAGAAGUUAAUGGAUUUGGAUUAGAUUUGAGGUAAAUUUUUAAGGUAGAAUUUUGAGUUUAUGGAAAACUCUUUUUUAUUAUAUGAAGCUUUGAAAUUUAAAUUAUAAACUAGGAUUAGAUACCCUAUUAUUUUAAAUGUAAAAUUUUUACUUGAGUAGUAAUAGUUAAGUUCUUGAAACUCAAAGAAUUUGGCGGUGUUUUAGUCUUUUCAGAGGAAUCUGUCCCGUAAUCGAUAAUACACGUUAUAGUCUACUUAGCCUUGUUUUCAGUUUGUAUACCGCCGUCGUAAGAUUAUUUUUUUAGAAUGGUAAUUUUCUUUAAUUUAAAUUAAAGUUUAUGUCAGGUCAAGGUGCAGCUAAUGGUUAAGAGGGAGAUGGAUUACAAUAAAAGAAUUUAAAUGGAUCUGGCAUUGGAAAAGUAAUGCCUUUGAAGGUGGAUUUGAAAGUAAUAUUAUUAUAUUAUGAUAAUAUGAUUUUAGCUCUAAAACAUGCACACAUCGCCCGUCGCUCUCAUUAUUAAGGUGAGAUAAGUCGUAACAAAGUAGAUGUACUGGAAAGUGUAUCUAGAAUG
rnacentral:ncRNA from 1 species